GGCCGGUUAGCUCAGUCCCUUAGAGCAUGGUGCUGAUAACACCAAUGUCACGGGUUCGAUACCCGUUCGGUCC
rnacentral:tRNA from 1 species